rnacentral:misc_RNA from 1 species
GAUGAAGAACGUAGCGAAAUGCGAUACUUGGUGUGAAUUGCAGAAUCCCGUGAACCAUCGAGUCUUUGAACGCAAGUUGCGCCCGAAGCCAUCAGGUUGAGGGCACGUCUGCCUGGGCGUCACAUAUCGUUGCCCAAUGCCUAUUGCAGUGCAAUAGGAAUUUCUAGGGCGAAUGAUGGCUUCCCGUGAGCGUUGUUGCCUCGCGGUUGGUUGAAAAUCGAGUCCUUGGUAGGGUGUGCCAUGGUAGAUGGUGGUCGAGUUAGAACGAUACCGAUCAUGUGCAUGCUCCCCAAAAUAUGGCCUCUAUGACCCACACGCGUCUUUUGACGCUCAUGACGAGACCUCAGGUCAGGCGGGGCUACCCGCUGAAUUUAAGCAUAUCAAUAAGAGGAGGA